UGGGGGAUAUUGCACAAUGGGCGAAAGCCUGAUGCAGCGACGCCGCGUGGGGGAUGAAGGCCUUCGGGUUGUAAACUUCUUUUGCUCUGAACAAGGCGCACCAUGGGGUGUGUUGAGUGUAGGGGUUGAUUAGCGCCGGCUAACUACGUGCCAGCAGCCGCGGUAAUACGUAGGGCGCGAGCGUUGUCCGGAAUUAUUGGGCGUAAAGGGCUUGUAGGUGGCUGGUUGCGUCUGUAGUGAAAGCUCAUGGCUUAACUGUGGGUUUGCGGUGGGUACGGGCUGGCUUGAGUGCAGUAGGGGAGGCUGGAAUUCCUGGUGUAGCGGUGGAAUGCGCAGAUAUCAGGAGGAAUACCGGUGGCGAAGGCGGGUCUCUGGGCUGUUACUGACACUGAGGAGCGAAAGCAUGGGGAGCGAACAGG
rnacentral:rRNA from 1 species